UCUCUGGUGGUCCAGUAGUCAGGACUUUGCACUUACACUUCAAGGGGCACAGAUUGAAUCCCUGGUCAGGGAA
rnacentral:tRNA from 1 species